rnacentral:lncRNA from 1 species
UCCAUCAUCCAUGUCAGAUUACGAUGGUGAGGUGAGAAACAAGCUAAAGACGACGGCACCUUUGUGAGUUGGAGGUGGUCAAGGAGCGCAACCAAGUCGCCGACGAUGUGGAGGAUGGAGUAGGCGGCGGGGUCGGUGGGCACGGACGAGUCGCCGUAACCACGGAGGUCGGGGGCCAGCGCGCGGAAGCCGCGGGCGGCGAGCGCGGCCAUCUGGUGGCGCCAGGAGAGCCAGAGCUCAGGGAAGCCGUGGAUGAGGAGGACCGCCGGCCCGUCGGCGGGGCCGCGCUCGGCGACGUGGAGCGAAAUGCCGUUGACAUCCGCGGUCCAGUGCCGCACCUCGGCGUCGGCCUCAACCUCCAUGCUUUGCUGCUCUGCUUGACGCGCUACCUGCUCACGGUGACUUGCAUAAAUACAAAUUAUCUGAACCUCCUGGCUCGUUCUGGAUCACAUGUUCCAUACCCAUACGUGCACGCGUCGAUUACACCUUGUGCCUACAACAAGCCUGCAAUGGCUACCAGAAGCAACACAACUACGCAAGCUUUCAGCACCAAGUAUUUUUGUCACAUGCUCUUUUUAUUCAUAUUCAUACACGCAAGCCAGCAAAUGCUUAGCUCACACUUUAUUCAAGACUUUUUCAGUUCAGAAAGAAAUGGAGACCCAUCGUACAUCAACAAAACAUCAAGAUGAUGCCUCCUGGCUAGUAAACUUGACGAGGUAGGAAAUCAUCUCCGAAUUCACCCUCUCGGCCUGCUCUUGCUGGAGAAAAUGGUGGCCUUCAAUGACGGUGACUUCAAGAUCUGGAACAAUGGACUUGAAUGCCCCGCUGUUGAUGUACUUCUCAGUCCCAAAGGACUGGACACCGAUGUCCUUAUCACCACCUAUGAACUUCACAGGGACUGUAAUCUUGGCUCCGUUCCAGGGUGCAAGAAGCCUCCAAUUCCUGCAGUUACCACACCUUGCAACUAAAUCACAUACAGUGUAAUAAGGCAGCAAUUUAUAAGAUAAAAAUAGGAAACAGGGUACGGAAAUUACGUCUCCCACAUGCGGUAGUAGUUGAGGGGCGCAGUGAACCCAGACUUCUGAAACUUUUCAGCAUAUUGGCCUAGUUCUUCCUCACUGAUCCAAGGAAGUGGUGAGGGAGAUGCCUCGAGAAAGUCUAUGAUCUCCACUCCAGAAGGAGCACUGAGAUUAUCUAUUUCAAUGGAAUAGAACUUUUUUAGGACAGUCGCCACAUCAUAACGAGCAAAUGAGCUUUCAGCUCUUCCAGGCUCCUGCAAAUAUGAAGCUUGAAUUUUUCAAACAGAGCGCCAGACCCUGAACUUGAAAAAGGUUUGAAGCUACUGGUGCAGACUGAAGACCAACUUGGUGUUUGAAAAAAUUACUGUUGAAAUACCUCGACCUGUUUUAUUUCCUAAUAAGAAAGUGAGCUCCUGCUUCAAGUUUGAGAACAUAAGGUAAAACCAAAGAUUCAAACUGAAAAUGCUAACUGAAAUUUUGCAUUUCCCCCCAUGGCUGAGCUUAGAGAAUGCUCUCAACCAUAUGCAGGCCUGAUACAUAGCACAAUCAUAGCUAAGCAAACACGCAUGCAUGUGUGAUCUUACGAGGGUUUGUUAAAAAUUUCUGCAAAGGAAGUUUGAAGGCAUCACACAUCCAAUAAAAUCAUAUGAUCAAUCAAAUCACCGCACUUCGCUAAAUAAAUAAUAAAAAAAUCUUACAAAUCUCUACAGUUACUACUGUUCAACUGGCAUGGGGUAAACUGCUACUGAAACCUUCAGCUGCUUCAAAUUCAAUGUGUUCUCUAUGAACUGAUGUAUUAGAGCAAGAGUUUCGGUUCUGUGCAAUCCAGCAACGACAAAUAGAUUACUUCAAUUUAUUGAUGGAUGCAAAAAUGUGUCCACGUUCAUCGCUAGAAUUGCGUUUAUUUGUGGGAUCGGAGGGAGUACAAAAUUAGGCAAAGUAGAUAGCAUGGUUGAGCCAGGGCUGCCAGGCAAGAGAAGAUCGGAUCAGCACCUGGAACUGGUUUAUGUAAAAGCCAUCGCCAAACGCUGCGAAGACCUCCAUGACCGGGCGAGGGUGACGAGCGAAGUACGGUACCCCCAGAACGACGGCGGCGCGCACCAGGUCCGGCCGGAACAGGCAGAGGUGCCACGCCACCUGCGCGCCCCAGUCAUGCCCAACCACGAACACCUACAACAGAUCCAUCCACGGCAGAUGGCGGCGCGCACAGGCAGAGCCCAAAAGGUUCAGUCACUCACGAUGGUGAGGUGAGAAACAAGAGCACGGCAGGCGGAAAAAAGGCGGCACCUUUGUGAGUUGGAGGUGCUCAAGGAGCGCGACGACGUCGCCGACGAUGUGGAAGAUGGAGUAGGCGGCGGGGUCGGACGGCGCGGAGGAGUCGCCGUAGCCGCGGAGGUCGGGGGCCAGCGCGCGGAACCCGCGGGCGGCGAGCGCGGCCA